GGGGGUAUAGCUCAAUGGUAGAGUGCAUGCUUGGAGCGCACAAGGUCCUGGGUUCAAUCCCCAGAGCCUCCG